GCGCGCAUAGCUCAGCUGGUAGAGCGUUUCAUUGACAUUGAAAAGGUCUCAGGUUCAAGUCCUGAUGCGCGCACCA
rnacentral:tRNA from 1 species